UACGUAGGGCGCAAGCGUUGUCCGGAAUUAUUGGGCGUAAAGAGCUCGUAGGCGGUUUGUCGCGUCGGGAGUGAAAACCUCGGGCUUAACUCGGGGCUUGCUUUCGAUACGGGCAGACUAGAGGUAUGCAGGGGAGAACGGAAUUCCAGGUGUAGCGGUGAAAUGCGUAGAUAUCAGGAGGAAUACCGGUGGCGAAGGCGGCCUUCUGGACGGUGACUGACGCUGAGACGCGAAAGCGUGGGGAGCAAACAGG
rnacentral:rRNA from 1 species